AGAAGCACGCAGCAUGCAUCAUAUUAUAAUCACUGUGUACGGCACAUUUUCGACAAUUCAAAAUUUUGCUUUAACAGGUCAACAAAUUUAAAUUUUCCAUAAAUUUAGCCUUUAUUCCAGCACUUUGUUUUCGCCAUACAAAAUUUUCGCCACCAACAAACAGCUCCAAAAUGCCGUUUUAUUAGCCUUACCUCAAUAAAACUGCAAUCCCUAGACGUACUGCAGCCUGGAGAACCGGAUGAUUACCACCAAUAUUCACAACACUCGCGAAAUCCGCGAAAAUCGUGGUCCUAAAAUUGCGAAUCGAAGUUUUUCGCGAGCAAAUUUUCGUUUGAUUUCACACGUACUAACACCAGCAUCAGUGACAUUAGUGUUGGUAAUCAUCAAAAUUCGAAUAUAGGUGUUGCCAGGAAUUUCAUUCAGGGACUUUGGCAUUUAUUAUUUGAAUUUGAGUUUUUCUAUCUUUAAUAUUGUUAAAAUGGAUUAAAAACGUUUGACUCUUGUUGUAAUUUAUUAAAAAGACUAUUAUCCGGAAUAAAACCAUAAUAAUCAAUUAAAAAGAACUCAUAACAAAAGUUUUUUCUCAAAAUUCUAACGUGCUUGGCAACACUUUUCUUUGACACGCCACGCCAUCUGACCAUCUGACAGUUCGAUUUGUUUGCGUUCUGUCAGCUGUGCUACCGUGCAAAAUACAUACCGUUUCAUUUUGUUUACAAAUUUGCUGUUUUUUUACGAAGGCGGAACUGCUACCAGAACCGACUCGGAAAAUCAAGACCAAGCCACCGCCGUAAAACCACGUCCGGUUCUUCUCUUUCGAACCAGUGAUGAGAGUGUUGGUCGCGGAGUUUUUUGUGUUCAGAAGUUAGUGGAAAACAGACUCAAGUGAAAACUCAGGAAUGUUGGUUCUUCGUGGACACCGUGCUGGUCUAGGUGCUGCGGACCACGUAUCGGAAGAGUUCCUGCUGGAUUCACUGAAAGCGAACGCAAUCAAUCAUGUUUGGAGAAGUGGCGUUUGAAGCAAGGCCAGAGAUUUGGCAAUAAAACGCUGCUCCGGCUCUACUGGCAAUAAAAUGUAAACGGCUUACCGUGGAACUGACCCUUCCAGAUAAAAGCCACGGGCAACACACGAAUCCUACACUUUUGAAACCUCACAUUUGGUCGUUACGGCAAGCCGUUGCGCACCAAGUGCUGGCUCAUCUGGUACAGUUUGGCAGCUGCGGCCGCCUUCUCGAUGACCUUGAAAUCAUGCUUAAUCUCUUUCAACAAAAUCACGCGUUACGUGGCAGUGAAGUGGACCGGGAAUACUUCGUCGUCGGAUCCGGAAUCAUCGUUAUGAAACCAAAGCUCUCUUCGAAACUGGUCAAAAGAUGUCAGUCUUGGAAAAAAUACAUAAAAUAAAAUCAGCUGACAGCGAUUCUAAUCACGAAUAAUGUUAAAAUUUCAUGUUUCUAUCUGUGUUAGAAUAAAGUUUAUAUUCUCUAAGAAAAAAAAA